rnacentral:rRNA from 1 species
UGCAAAGGUAGCAUAAUCGUUAGUUUUUUAAUUGGAAUCUUGUAUGAAUGGUUGGACAAAAGAAAAUCUGUCUUUAUAUUGUUUAUUGAAUUUAACUUUUAAGUGAAAAGGCUUAAAUAAAUUAAAGGGACGAUAAGACCCUAUAAAGCUUAAUAUUAAUAUUUUACUUGGUUAAAUUUUCUUGUUCAUAAAAACUUAGUAAUUGAAUUUAUUUUAUUGGGGCGAUAAAUGUAAAAUGGCUACUAACUGCUUAAUUUUUUAUACAUUUAUAAAUGAAUUAGGAAAUAAAUGAUCCUUAAUAUAAAGAUUAAAAGUUUAAGUUACUUUAGGGAUAACAGCGUUAUCUUUCUUAAGAGUACAUAUCGAAAGAAAAUUUUGCGACCUCGAUGUUGAAUUAAAAUACCUUUAUAAUUGCAGCAGUUAUAUAAGUAGGUCUGUUCGACCUUUAAAAUUUUACAUGAUU